rnacentral:sRNA from 1 species
CCCUAGCCCUGAUAGAAGCGGUAUCCUUUUUUUGUGAUUUUUCAUCACCAAAAAAAGAUACAAGCGGAUAGCAGGAAGUAGC